CAGGGCUUUUUCGCUUGUGGGGCCCUCUUCCAUUUCCCAUUGUAAGAUCAACAAGGCCACCCUCGACACCAUUAAAUGUCUGUCUGUCAUAAUUGGAAGAAGAAGCAUGGUGUGCAUGAUUUUCUGGAACUGUGCAAAAGGAUCCAUCUGUUGAUGAAUGCUGAAAAGGAUCAUGAGAAGGGCCCGAAACAUCUGGUUGAUAAUGUGAUACUUCAACACUGUUACUUGAGGAAAUAUAUGCAUUUGACAUUGGUGCAGGGUUCCGUAGAGAAGUAAAAUGCACUCCUUCAAGAGGCAUAUUUUCUGCAGGAUAAAAGAAAGCAC
rnacentral:misc_RNA from 1 species